CCUGUCGCUUUACCUGACACGAGCAUGCGCAGAACUAAUUUACCUGUGAAGGUACAUCCGUUAUUUUGGAGAUACUUGAAAUUUGAAGAAUUUUAAUGUAAUAUUAUGAUCAUAUAGUGGUUAUAAUACAUAAAACAAGUCAAAAUGUCAGCAGGUUACGGACCAGCACACUACUAUGCCGAAUCCAGGGCUAGUAGUGUAUCGGAACAACCUGUAUCUGGAAUGGAUUUCCAGAUGAAGGCCUAUCCAUCCCAGCAGAGUAUUGAUACUAGAUCAUACAUGUCGGCCAGUCGAAAGAGUUUAUACUCUAAUUACACAUCAUAUACGACGCACACCAACAUGUCAUACAUCUUACCCAUUGUUACUAAUCAGCCGUUAUUAGAUAGAAGACCACCAGAUAACUGGGGAUUAGCUUUUUGCUCCCUUUUCUUUAACCCAGUUUUUGGUCUUUUUGCUCUUCUUUUUGCAG